GAGGGAUGGCAGGAUGUCAUUAGUCAAAUAGUUGAAACUUAUGUCAAGGACCUCCAGAUUACGCAACUUUGAAGAUAGAGUUUCAAAAACUUAUAUAGGUAUAUAUGCACAUGUGUUGUGGAAGAAGCCAACAAAUUGUGGGAAAACAGUACCAAAAAUUAGAAGAGGUUGACGACAUCAUUUUAAAAUAAAAAAGACAAAUGUUGCUAGCCUCACCGUGGAAUGAAGAUGUAUUCAACUUGUUAUCUGCUAAAUAUAGAGACUUAAGAGAUGAAAGCCCAUCCAAACAAGAUAGAAUGCCAGCAUCAUCCAAAUAGUUGCCACUUACGUCAAGGACUUCCAGAUAACGCAACUUUGAAGAUAGAGUUUCAAAAACUUAUAUAGGUAUAUAUGCACAUGUGUUGUGGAAGAAGCCAACAAAUUGUGGAAAAACAGUACCAAAAAUUAGAAGAGGUUGACGACAUCAUUUUAAAAUAAAAAAGACAAAUGUUGCUAGCCUCACCGUGG
rnacentral:lncRNA from 1 species